ACGCUGGCGGCGUGCUUAACACAUGCAAGUCGAACGAUGAUGCCCAGCUUGCUGGGUGGAUUAGUGGCGAACGGGUGAGUAACACGUGAGUAACCUGCCCCUGACUCUGGGAUAAGCGUUGGAAACGACGUCUAAUACUGGAUAUGAUCACUGGCCGCAUGGUCUGGUGGUGGAAAGAUUUUUUGGUUGGGGAUGGACUCGCGGCCUAUCAGCUUGUUGGUGAGGUAAUGGCUCACCAAGGCGACGACGGGUAGCCGGCCUGAGAGGGUGACCGGCCACACUGGGACUGAGACACGGCCCAGACUCCUACGGGAGGCAGCAGUGGGGAAUAUUGCACAAUGGGCGAAAGCCUGAUGCAGCAACGCCGCGUGAGGGAUGACGGCCUUCGGGUUGUAAACCUCUUUUAGUAGGGAAGAAGCGAAAGUGACGGUACCUGCAGAAAAAGCACCGGCUAACUACGUGCCAGCAGCCGCGGUAAUACGUAGGGUGCAAGCGUUGUCCGGAAUUAUUGGGCGUAAAGAGCUCGUAGGCGGUUUGUCGCGUCUGCUGUGAAAUCCCGAGGCUCAACCUCGGGCUUGCAGUGGGUACGGGCAGACUAGAGUGCGGUAGGGGAGAUUGGAAUUCCUGGUGUAGCGGUGGAAUGCGCAGAUAUCAGGAGGAACACCGAUGGCGAAGGCAGAU
rnacentral:rRNA from 1 species